UUUUACCUUCAUUUUUUUGUUCUCUUUUUUAUUUUUUCUAUUUAAUAUUUUUUUCCUAAAAAUAAAAAAUAAAAAAUAAAUGAAUUCUUCCUUGAUUAAAAAAACAUUAUAUUUUUAUUAUUUAUUAUUAUUUAUUAUUUAUUUAUUUUAGAUUUAUUUAUCUUAUAAAAAGUAUAAAAAAUUUCAAACAAAAAAAGAUUGAUUGUUUUGAUUUAACUUAUUUGAUUUUUGUUUAUAUUUUUUAUUUCUUUUUUAUUGUUCUAUAGUUUGUUUAUUUCAAUUGUCUAUUGCUCUUAUAGUUGUAUUUGUUAUUUUGGUUAUUAUAUUUAUCUUAUUCUCCAAAAUAAAUUAUCAUAUCCCAUUUGAUUGUAAUUUGUAUUUAUUUGCUUUUUUUUCUUGAUUUUAAUUAGAUAGAUUAAUUAUUUAGGUAAUAAGUAAAAUAAGAUAAAACAAAAUAAAAUAAACAACAAAAAUAUAAAAUCAAUCUUUCAAAAAAAAAAAUUGGUCAAUACCAUGUCUUCAUCGUUCAUUUCAAACCAUUUCAAACUUUCUAACCUUUUUUUCAUUUCCGUAUCAUAAUCAAAUGUUUCAUCCAACGUCAAACCAUUUUUCCA
rnacentral:lncRNA from 1 species